rnacentral:rRNA from 1 species
CAUCAGACGGCUGGUAGAGUAUCGGCUCACCAGGGGUUUGACGAGUAGUAAACCUGAGAGGGUUGCUCCCCACAAGGGAAGAGUAACACGGUCCAUACCCGUACGGGUGGCAGCAGUAGGGAAUAUUAGAAAUGGGCGGAAGCCUGAUCGAGCAACACCGCGUGUGCGAUGAAGGCAUUUGGGUGUAAAGCACUUUUAGGAGGGAAUAGGAAGGAAGGUACGUCCAGAAUAAGUUUAGCAUAAGUACGUUCCAGCAGCCGCGGUAACAUGUUGGAGGCAAACCUUAUCUGGAUUCAAUGGGUGUAAAGCGCGUGCAGGUGGUUCUGUAAGUAGGGCGUGAAAGCUCCCGGCUCAACUGGGAGAGGCCGUACUAAACUGCGGAGCUAGAGGAUGGUAGAGGGAGGUGGAAUUCCAGGUGUAGUGGUGAAAUGAGCAGAUAUGAGGAGGAACACCAGUGGGGAAGGCGGCCUCCUGGACCAUUCCAGACACUCAGACGCGAAAGCUAGGGUAGCAAACGGAAUUAGAGACUCCGGUAGUCCUAGCCCUAAACGAUGCAGAGAAGGCGU